AGUGAACGCUGGCGGUAGGCCUAACACAUGCAAGUCGAACGGCAGCACAGUAAGAGCUUGCUCUUACGGGUGGCGAGUGGCGGACGGGUGAGGAAUACAUCGGAAUCUACUUUUUCGUGGGGGAUAACGUAGGGAAACUUACGCUAAUACCGCAUACGACCUACGGGUGAAAGCAGGGGAUCUUCGGACCUUGCGCGAUUGAAUGAGCCGAUGUCGGAUUAGCUAGUUGGCGGGGUAAAGGCCCACCAAGGCGACGAUCCGUAGCUGGUCUGAGAGGAUGAUCAGCCACACUGGAACUGAGACACGGUCCAGACUCCUACGGGAGGCAGCAGUGGGGAAUAUUGGACAAUGGGCGCAAGCCUGAUCCAGCCAUACCGCGUGGGUGAAGAAGGCCUUCGGGUUGUAAAGCUCUUUUGUUGGGAAAGAAAAGCAGCAGGUUAAUACCCCGCCGUUCUGACGGUACCCAAAGAAUAAGCGCCGGCUAACUUCGUG
rnacentral:rRNA from 1 species